CCCACUUUCAACUCUCUCUCUCUCUCUCUCUCAGAAAAGAAGAUGCAGUAUAAGAAAGAAAUCUACAGAAACUUUCAGCGUGGCAGGUUGAGAGAGAGAGAGGAAUUUAGUCAAUUCCAAGACAGUUGAGUUUGAUAAUUUCCUUCGUAAGCCAAAUGCAGUUCCACCAAACUCUACUCUUGCCAGCCAAAGCCCACUUUCUGGGGCCAGACCAAAUGCAUUCCUAGGAACUGCUCAAAAUAGUGCCCCUCCUUUGGUCACAAGUUUUAGUCAACUAGGUGCUUCGCAAAUUGAGGGUCUUGGAAUAAUGCCCUCUACGCCAUCUAACAAUGCUUUUGCACAACCAAAUGCCUUCCCAAAUUCCAGUCAGACAUCAAGUGCAUUUGGGACAAACAAUUUUCCAUAUAAAAGUGAAGGUGCAUUUAGCUUCCAAAAUCCUACCCAGACACCUGGAAGUUCCAUUACAUCCAACACAGCAGGCUUCAGCAAUGGUGGUAACAUAAUUGGUGGAAGUAACUCAUUUUUUGGCAAAAUUUGCUAAAUAGACUGAUUUUAGGAACUAUUUGGGUGAAUA